AUGGCGGCCGGUUCAGGGGCUGCGAGCGGUCACGGCUCACGCAGCUCCACCGCUGCUCUGGAAGCGUCUUUGGACCGGCGUUUUCAGGGAGUUUCAAACACUAUGGAGUCAAUACAAGGACUUUCAGCUUGGUGCAUUGAAAACAAGAAACAUCACAGCCUUAUCGUCCGCUACUGGAUGAAGUGGCUCAAGAAAUCUGAUAACAAUCACCGCUUGAAUCUUUUCUACCUUGCCAACGAUGUGAUACAAAACUGCAAAAGAAAGAAUGCCAUCGUUUUUCGUUCAGCCUUCUCAGAGGUCCUUCCUAAUGCUGCUCAGCUCAUCAAAGAUGGGAAGGUUCGCAGGUCAGUGGAAAGGAUCUUUUCCAUUUGGGAAGAAAGAAGUGUGUAUCCCGAGGAGGUCAUUGCCCAGUUCAAAGCCAACUUGAAUAAAAAGGAAAAGGAGCGAGAGAAGCAGAAGGAAAAAGAAAAGGAAAAAGAAAAGGAAAAGGAAAAAGAGGCUACACCUGCAAAUGCUCCUGCUAAUUCCAAAGCUGCCCUGAAAUCCAAGAUUGUGGCGGAGUUCACGCCCCACUCCCUCAUUGAACAAUUGUUAAAAUAUAGGCAAGCUGUUGCCGAAGAAGAGUUUCAAGAAAAGCAGCUGUCAGCUCUCCGGGUGGAUGUCUGCAGCACGGAGGCCCUCAAGAGACUUAAAGAUAAGGCAGGGGGGAACAAAUUUGCCAAGGACUUCGAGGAUGGCAGCCUGAAGCUGCAGGAGUUUGUCAGCUUCCUGGAGAAAGAGUUGAAAGCAGGACCUCCUCUGCUGGAGGCUCUGGGAAACGCAGAUAUUUUCUACGAGAUGCAGUACAAGGAAGUUAAGAUUGUGGCCAAUGCUUACAACGCAUUUGCCAAUCGUGUGGCCAGUCUUAAAAGGAAAUUGGAUUCCCUCAAGUCCACUCUACCUGGACCUGAGGACUCUCCCAUCCCCUCACCAUCUGAAGAUGCCCCCUCCCCCACUGGCUCUGACUCACCCUUUAUGGCAAUGGUGGCUAGCAGAGCCCAGCUCGAUCCAGAUCUGGAUGGAAAGGCCAUGGAUGAAGGAGAAAUGCAGAGUGACAACAGAGACAUGGAGGACAUGGAUAUGUCUGAUGAAGAGACUGAUGCUGCAACUGCAGGGGAUGAUAAGAAAGAAAAGCCAGCUGCUGCCAUGUCUAAGGCUGCAAAGUCAGAUGCGCCUUCAAAGCUUCCAAAUACGCCUGCGAAGGCCUCUAAGAACAAUGCUUCUGCUACUACCACCACAACCACCCCAGUGACUCCCACAUCUGCUACUCCUACAAGUACCCCAGCCACCCCUCUGGGUGUCAAUCUGGCCAAGGUGGACCUGGGAAAGAUCACCUCCAUUCUCAGCUCACUAACCUCCGCCAUGAAGAAUACAGCAAGCCCAUCACCUCGUCCAUCUCCUGGGACACCCACAACCCCAUCUGGCCAAUCAGCAGCCUCCAAAGGAACCCCUCCAAGCCCUGCCUUGGCCAGUAUCCUGUCACGUGUUGAUAUCACACCUGAAGGGAUACUUAAUGCUCUGUCUAAAACCAACACAACAGGUUUGUCCUCUUUCCUGCAUAGUGUGACUAACACCACCUCUGGUGCUGCUGCUGGUACACGAACCUCCCCAGAAUCAGCACCUUCUAAAGCUCUGCACACCAGCACCCCGACCACCCCAACUACCCCAAAAACGAAAGCUGGUCUGGGGAACAGCCACAAGCGAGAAACACCUGGAAGAAUCAGAGACUGGGGGAGAGAGAGACAACUGUCCCCUCCUCCUCCACCACCUCACCCUCCUCGCCCCUCAGCACCUUCUGUCUCUCCCCCCAGCUUAGAAUCCAAAAUCAACAGUUUCCUGCAGGGUAAUCCAGGUUUUAGUCUCGCUCUUGGUGAUGUUAGUCCUGAUGGGGUGGAUGGGACCCCAGUGAGAGACGAGGCAGCCGGCACCCCAACCCAGGAUGAGAUUAUGGACACACCUGCAAGUGUGCCAGAAUCUGUGGGCUCAUCUGGAGGUCAUAACCUCUCACCCACAGCCUACCGCAAUGAACCCUGGGAUGCAGCUAUCACCCCGUCAGGAAGCGGCAACGAUGGAGACUUCCUACCCACCUCCCGAUAUGGCGCUGGAAGAAAGAGCAGCACAAAAUUAAAAGACGAUGAAGUGAUGCAUGUGAGGAAGCUGGUCUCCUCUUCUCCUAGUAAUGACAUGAAGGGUAAGAAGGAUGAACAGCAAAGUCAGCUAAGGAUGAUGGGAAACAACAGAGCAAUGGGAGAGAGGAGGCCCUGUGCCGGCUCUCGUAAGGCAAGCAUUGGUUCAGACGAAGGAGGUCAGUGUGGAAAAAAAGAAGACAAGUUAAAAGGUCAAAUGUCUCCAAGUGGAGAUGGGAAGGAGGGCCAAUACCAUCGUAUUGAGACACUUGUGUCACCCUGCACCGAAGGGGCACCCAUUCAAACUCUAGGCUACUCUAAUAGACCGCUCACUGGAGAGCGCAUAAAGACAGUAGAGAGCAUACGCGUGAUUGGUCGAGGCUCUCGACGGGGCGGAGGAGCUGGAAGUCGACCAGGAGGAGCCAUGUGGUAUGAAGAGGAAGGAUACCUGGAAGCUCAGCCUCCCUCACCACAACUUGUCCCCCCUCCUCUUAACAUUGGCCCAGGGGGCACAGAGGACAUGACCCCCUCUAUGCCUCCUCCUCCCCCACAUCUCCUAAUCCCCCCACAUCUUCACCCUCCUCCGCCCCUUCCUCAUCUUCCUCAAACUCAGUAUCAGUUGCCUUACCACACAGAGAACAUCCAGACUCCUCCUCCAUCACACCUCCACCAAGUUCCUCCUCCUACAUCUCCCUUCUUCAGCACACCUCCAGCAAUCCCUAGACCCCCUCCACCCCCAAUGCCACAGCGCCAUUCCCCUCCACCUACUCACCCUGCUGUACCCACUGCAGUCAUGGUAGGAGGGGUGAUGGUCCCUGCUGACCGGCCUCUGCCACUUCCUCACUCAGUCAGACCUGAAGCUGCAGAGAGAGGUGGAGUAGGGCCAAGAGGAGGCAAAGUGGCCCCCCCACCCCUCAUGUCAUCAUUGCUAGGCGAGCCCCCUAAACUUCCCCGCCCCGGCACAGUAAAAGAGCCCUUUGUUCUCUGCCAUGCACCCCCCCUCCACCGUCCAGGUACCCCUGGUGUUCCUCCACCUUUAUUGGGUAGAGUGAAGGAGCCUCUGAAUCUACCUCUUCCAUCCCCGUCUCCCUCUCCCACAUCAUCUGCAACCUCGCCCUCCACACCUAAUUCCCCUGCAGUUGACACUGCUCCUUCGCGCUCACUUACCCAGUCCGCUACCCUUCCUCUCCAGAAACCUUCUGCUAGUCCUCCAGGGCAGCCCCGCAACCAAAACCCUAACCCUGUUCCCCUCCUCACCUUGCCUACUCCUCGGCCUCCAAUCCUCUCCGUUCCCAUCUCACAGAGAUCCCUGCUGCGAGGCCGAAACCCUCAGCAGCAUAAUCAAGAUCUACCCAUAGGGGGAUUUCGUGGGGGCAAGCGUCCCGGGCCUCCGUUCACAGGUGGUCCCUUGCAUGCACAGAAGAGGCCUUUCCUACCCCCACGCUACUGAAGUGGUCAUCUGCGACAAGCUGAAUGAGAAGUGCAAGCCACACAUCUAGCAGUGCAGUGUGUGUGUUAGCCCUGCUGGUGAAUGCAUCUCCUGCCUUAUCUGAACGACUGCAGAUCUUUGAGGCUCUCAGGGAAAAACGUGGAAAUGGGAAGCGUUUUGAAUCAACAGAAAUGCCCCUCCGUAUCCGG